rnacentral:rRNA from 1 species
GGUUAAGUGAAUAAGGGCGCACGGUGGAUGCCUUGGCACUAGGAGCCGAUGAAGGACGGGACUAACACCGAUAUGCUUUGGGGAGCUGUAAGUAAGCUAUGAUCCAGAGAUUUCCGAAUGGGGGAACCCAAUAUCUUUUAUAGGAUAUUACUUUUCAGUGA